GAUGAACGCUGGCGGCGUGCCUAAUACAUGCAAGUCGAGCGAACAGACGAGGAGCUUGCUCCUCUGACGUUAGCGGCGGACGGGUGAGUAACACGUGGAUAACCUACCUCUAAGACUGGGAUAACUUCGGGAAACCGGAGCUAAUACCGGAUACUAUAUUGAACCGCAUGGUUCCAUAGUGAAAGACGGUUUUGCUGUCACUUAUAGCUGGAUCAGGGCCGGAUUAGCUAGUUUGGAAGGUAACGGCUUACCAAGGCAACGAUGCGUCGCCGACCUGAGAGGGGGAUAGGCCACAGGGGAGCGGAGACACGGACCAGACGACUACGGGAGGCAGCAGUAGGGAAUCGUCCGCAAUGGGCGAAAGCCUGACGGAGCAAGGCCGCGUGAGUGAUGAAGGUCUUCGGAGCGUAAAAAUGGGUUAUGAGGGAAGAACAAAUGUGAAAGGAACAAUGCACGUCGUGACGGUACCUAAUCAGAAAGCCACGGCUAACUACGUG
rnacentral:rRNA from 1 species